GACGAACGCUGGCGGCGUGCUUAACACAUGCAAGUCGAACGGAAAGGCCCUGCUUUUGUGGGGUGCUCGAGUGGCGAACGGGUGAGUAACACGUGAGUAACCUGCCCUUGACUUUGGGAUAACUUCAGGAAACUGGGGCUAAUACCGGAUAGGAGCUCCUGCUGCAUGGUGGGGGUUGGAAAGUUUCGGCGGUUGGGGAUGGACUCGCGGCUUAUCAGCUUGUUGGUGGGGUAGUGGCUUACCAAGGCUUUGACGGGUAGCCGGCCUGAGAGGGUGACCGGCCACAUUGGGACUGAGAUACGGCCCAGACUCCUACGGGAGGCAGCAGUGGGGAAUAUUGUACAAUGGGCGGAAGCCUGAUGCAGCAACGCCGCGUGCGGGAUGACGGCCAUCGGGUUGUAAACCGCUUUCGCCUGUGACGAAGCGUGAGUGACGGUAAUGGGUAAAGAAGCACCGGCUAACUACGUG
rnacentral:rRNA from 1 species